UACGUAGGGUGCGAGCGUUAAUCGGAAUUACUGGGCGUAAAGCGUGCGCAGGCGGCGCCGCAAGUCGAGUGUGAAAUCCCCGAGCUUAACUUGGGAAUUGCGCUCGAAACUACGGUGCUGGAGUGUGGCAGAGGGAGGUGGAAUUCCACGUGUAGCGGUGAAAUGCGUAGAGAUGUGGAAGAACACCAGUGGCGAAGGCGGCUCACUGGCCCGGUACUGACGCUGAGGUGCGAAAGCGUGGGGAGCAAACAGG
rnacentral:rRNA from 1 species